GCUGGGCAUGAUGAUUCAUAUCUGUAAUCCCAGCAACUUGGAGGCUGAGGCAGGAGGAUCACAAGUUGGAAGUCAGCCUCAAUAAUUUAGCAAGAUCCUGUCUCAA
rnacentral:sRNA from 1 species